CGGGCCGGGUCGGGCAGGGCAGGGCAGGGCAGGGCAGGGCAGAGGAGGGAUGGGGCAGCCGCACCCCGACAGCCCCAAGCAGGACAGCUGAAGGAGGGCCGGACACUGCUCGGGUGAAGAUGCAGGCGUCCGGACCGGUCAGGGGGCGGGAUGGCGUGUUGGUUUGGGUGGGCCUUGCACAUGCUCCCCAAGUGGGAUGACUGAAACGCACAGCCCUGGUUGCAAACAGAGCCCCCAACCCUGAAUCGAUAGUGGCCACGGCCCAGAAACUACGAUCCUGGUUUAUUAUUAGCCGUCGGGGAAGAGGGACCAGCAGCAGCAGCGGCGGCAACUCCAUCUCCGGGCUCUUACGUAAGAAGGGUGGCUGGGCAUGCCUGGUGCACGUGGACGCGUGGUGUUCCCGCGGUGGCUCUGGCCUUGGCCAACUGCUGGGGGAGGGGAGCCUCGGAGGCUUUUGCCUCCCUCCAAGCCGGGUCUUUCCCAAUCUUUUCUGUAACAGCUGCUGCCAGGGAUGAAGAGCAACUCACCAUCCCAUUUGCACAUUUUCCCAAGAGAUCAGAUGUGGCAAUGGGCAGCAGUGGCCAAAUACCCACUUUUUCCCAAGUCCCUCUACUCGGAGAUGGUGGAGAGCCCUGGCCACGUGGCUUUUUGGCUGCCAAAGGGCUAGGAGAGGGUGACAGUAGUUAGGCCCGGUGUUGGGUGUCUUUCAUCAUUUAACAGAAAAGCAGGCAGGUAUCCAAUAAUAUUUUUUGGUGGUGGAGGGGGUGGGGAGUUUGAAAUGUUCCUUUCCUAAGAUAGUUCUUAAAACACAGGGUCAUUUAAUAGGGCCUAAGCCAUGUACUAAAUCUUUGGAUUUAACUUUUAAGAGCAUUGCACCUUAAAUUACACUUUGGGACUCCAAACCACAACCCGUUUUCAUUUAGUUUUUUUUACCAUCUCGCUUCCCUUGCCAUGUCCUUCACUGGCUGAUCUCCAACAGUCCUACAGAUAAUUCAGCAAAUUGCUUUUCUCUAAAAUCUUUUAGGGGUGCUUUUACUAGAGUGUUUUCUCACAGGACAAGAAGUGCCAAAACAAGGGGGAGACACCUAAUAAAGGAGUUUAUUUCUUCCACUCUCUCUUUCACUUCGGAGAUGUAUAUCUAAAUGUUUUCCACAGCAAACAAUCAGACUUGGUGCUUGGACUGACCUGUGGGCAACAGGACCCAAGUCAGUGACCUCUGGAGACAGAGCCUAGCCUGCUGACCUCCACUUUCAGGGCUUAUUAGCUCUGCCAGAUCAUAGCCCAUGUUUUUCUAUCGAUAAAACUGAGGUAAUGUCACCUGCUCACCUAGCAGUCUUUGGGAGGAUCAGUGGAAAGAAAAAUGUAGGGCAAAAAAUAAUUAUAUAAAUUUGAAGCGCUGGGAAAAUCUCCUCCUCCCACUUGCACCAUGGAGACUUAGAAACUUUUCCAGGGUCAGUUUCCUUAUCAACAAAAUGGAGCUUCUCCCAUGAGCUAUAGGCAAUUUUGGUUAAGGUUAAGUAAGACAGUGGAUGUAAAAAUUAUGUAAAUUUUAAACUACUUUCCAAAGAUUAAUUGUACUUACUGAAGGACCUCAUCAUAGCUAAGAAGUGUUUAUGUGAAGAGUCAGAAACUUUAAAAAUGUGGAAAUGGUUUAUGAUGAGCCACAGACCCUUUCCCCUAGUGCUUAGGCAGCAGGAGAGAACAAAACAGUUCAGGUUGAUUUCAAACCUUGACAACCAGUGAGCUACAAAGAGCAUUGCAAGAGGAAAAAUCGAGAAAAACACAUAUCCGGUUUGCAGUAGCUGAUCCUCUCAUUAAUUAAAACAUAUUUGUCCCCCCAUUACAGACCCUCUUGAUAUUUUAAGUACAUAUGCCUCUGGAAGAAAACUUCAGAUUGAGUUAAUUAAAUGCUGGAAUCCUGCCUCUUUUUGUCUUCGUCCCAGUUCCAACAAGGUGUGAUAAUAACUAACAGAAAACGGAAAUCCAAGUGAUCUAGCAAAGAGAUCGCAGCAAACAAGCCCGGGUUGAAAGAAGGCCCCUAAAGCCGCCCUUUUGGCCUCCACCCAUCCCCCGAUCCGUUUCCUUCCUUCCUCUAGUCUCGAGGUCACUCUUAAUCCUCCAGUUUUUUACUCCAGUCCCCGUUCUUUUACAUUUCUUAAAUACUGUAAGAGAAAGAUGGCUCAUGCACCUGCCUGCAAAACUUCCCAAACCGGGCCUCCUCAGCUCCCCGGUGCCAGCGCACCAACUCACGCCCACCGGAGUAACUCCGGAACGAAAAAGUCCCCGGGCCAGGGCUCCGGGCCCUUAGAAUCACCCCACCACCGCCCCUCCAGCUUCAGCCAAUCAGAUGCCGUUUGAGAAUGUUAUGCAAAUAAGCCUUCGCGCCCCAGCCAGUGAGAAGCCACAGCCCCCUCCCCCCAGCGUCCUCUUUCACCCCAGCCGCGCCGAACUGGCGGCCGCGUCCCUGGCAACUGGCGCGCAGUCAAUUUUCCCUCACACGCGGCUGGAAAAAAAAAAAAAAUGGUUCCCUGGGGUCACUUGGGAGGGGUGCGGGCGGGCCCUGGCCCGGCCGAAGGCGGCCAGCCUCUCUGGUUGCCCCAGGCAUUUUCCCAAAUCGAGAUCUGGAACUGGCUGAAGAUGCUGAGCUACCUGCCCAGGCUUUAUUUUGCCUCCGGAGAAGAAAUGUUAUGAGAGACUUUGCUAAAGGCCUUGCUACAGUCCCCAGUUAAUGGCCGGUUUUCUUCUGAUCAGAGUCAAGAAGCAAGGCAUUUUUUGUCAUCUGCCCAUGGAGGAACCACUGUCGCAAGGAAGAAGAACAAAGUCUUCGAGUAUCCAAGCAGGAAAGGAAGUUACCAAAAAGACGGUGGUUACAGGGGAGGGUAGAACCAAGCCAGCUUUACAGAAACAUUCCACAACAGGAGACAAUGGAGCUAAUCGGUAAGUUAGUCAAUGAAGUCUAAAACCAAACUGUGCCGUUUACCAAAGGAAGACACCAACAUCUUCAUGGUUUUCAAGCUGUUUUUUCUCGACUUAGAAGAAUCUUUUAGGAACUAAUAUUUUCUAUUGCAGACUCUCUUUUCUAAAAUUCAGUAUUUCUUUUUGUGUCACUUCAGUCACUCCUCAAAAUUCAAGUAAAGUUAAUUGUAACAUUUCAUUUCAAGUAACAUGUAUAAUAAUGCUCUAUUCAUUUGAGUGCUAGAUGCCAUGUACAUAGGUGUGUUCAAUUUGUUAAGCUGACACUUACAUUUGAACACUUUCUUCAUAGAUGUUGUACUUGAAUAAUUGCUCAGAAAUUUCAUGUAUGCAGAAUUUUCUGAGAGCGAGAGAGAGAUUGUCAACAGUCUGAUCUGGUGAGUUGGUUUGGAGUCAAAUGCUCUCAAGGGGCGUGGGGGUGGCUUGGUCUGUUGAGCGUCCGACUCUUGAUACCCCUCUGGUCAUGAUCCCAGGAUCAUGGGAUUGAACCCUGCCUUAUGCUGAAUGUGGA